UACAGAGGGUGCGAGCGUUAAUCGGAAUUACUGGGCGUAAAGGGCGCGCAGGCGGCUGCUCAAGUCAGGCGUGAAAGGCCUGGGCUCAACCCGGGAAGUGCGCUUGAGACUGGGCUGGCUUGAGUGCGGGAGAGGAUGGUGGAAUUCCCAGUGUAGAGGUGAAAUUCGUAGAUAUUGGGAAGAACACCGGUGGCGAAGGCGGCCAUCUGGACCGCAACUGACGCUGAGGCGCGAAAGCGUGGGGAGCAAACAGG
rnacentral:rRNA from 1 species